rnacentral:rRNA from 1 species
CCUACGGGUGGCAGCAGUAGGGAAUCUUUCACAAUGGGCGAAAGCCUGAUGGAGCAACGCCGCGUGCAGGAUGAAGGCCUUCGGGUUGUAAACUGCUUUUAUAAGCGAGAAAUAUGAUGGUAACUUAUGAAUCAUGAUCGGCUAACUACGUGCCAGCAGCCGCGGUCAUACGUAGGAUCCGAGCAUUAUCCGGAGUGACUGGGUGUAAAGAGUUGCGUAGGUGGAAUAAUAAGUAGCUAGUGAAAUCUGGUGGCUCAACCAUUCAGACUAUUAGCUAAACUGUUAAGCUCGAGACCGUUAGGGGUAACUGGAAUUUCUAGUGUAGGAGUGAAAUCCGUAGAUAUUAGAAGGAACACCAAUAGCGUAGGCAGGUUGCUGGGACGGUUCUGACACUAAGGCACGAAAGCGUAGGGAGCAAACGGGAUUAGAUACCCGAGUAGUC